AGGGAGUGUGUUUUCAUGCAGAUGCUGAGUAAUCUCCCAGUAGUGUGGAGGACAUUGCAAAGAUUUGGAGUUUUGUGCAGUGUUUCUGUUUCUUGGUGUGGACAAGUGAGUUUUUCUCCAUGAUAUGCUGUUAAAAGAGCCGAGAUAUCCGGAAAAAAAUUAGACUUAGUGUGAAGAAAAAGAAGCAGCUGACCAAUAGGCUACCUAGAAAGCAUCCAGCCUGGAUCUCAGCUGCAAAAUUGAGAGUUCUUCAAAGUGGUUUACAUGCAGUUCUUAACACAGCUGCUUGCUGGGGGUGUGUGCUCUGUGUGGG